CCUACGGGUGGCAGCAGUGGGGAAUAUUGGACAAUGGGGGCAACCCUGAUCCAGCCAUGCCGCGUGUGUGAAGAAGGUCCUCGGGUUGUAAAGCACUUUCAGUGAGGAAGAACGCCUGGUGGUUAAUACCCAUCAGGAAAGACAUCACUCACAGAAGAAGCACCGGCUAACUCCGUGCCAGCAGCCGCGGUAAUACGGAGGGUGCGAGCGUUAAUCGGAAUUACUGGGCGUAAAGCGCGCGUAGGUGGCUUGAUAAGCCGGUUGUGAAAGCCCCGGGCUCAACCUGGGAACGGCAUCCGGAACUGUCAAGCUAGAGUGCAGGAGAGGAAGGUAGAAUUCCCGGUGUAGCGGUGAAAUGCGUAGAGAUCGGGAGGAAUACCAGUGGCGAAGGCGGCCUUCUGGACUGACACUGACACUGAGGUGCGAAAGCGUGGGUAGCAAACAGGAUUAGAUACCCUUGUAGUC
rnacentral:rRNA from 1 species